UAUCGCAGAGUGACUUUGUUUUGGAUCUACAAGCAGUCGUCGCCUGUUUGAUCGCACGUUCAACGAGCCGUUAACUCAGGGUGACCUUCGUCAGGACCGUAAUCAUCGCAACGCCUGAUCUUCAUAUGCUGAAUCGACCUACAGCCAGAGAAACCGUUCAUUCAUAACGGGUGAGAGAUCGUUAGUGAACCUGUUGGACAUAUUUUUUCUUCGUCAUAGGAGCCACAUUGAGUAUCAAGUUUUACCUCGUCAGUUUCGAGAAGGACAGUUUACCCGCUGUCAGAAGUAUUGUGAGUACUACAAGUUUGGUAGCUAACUAAAUCGAAAUCGCUCUGUCGUCUUACCCUUGGAGAGAUUCUUGUGGAGCAGUUUGCUCAUUGAACCGGUUGCUUGCCACGUUUAUAACGGUCACUGUGUUUAACCUUUGGAAGGUUAGUGAAGUAAUCUUUAUCAGUACUGAACAUUGAUAUAUCUAGUAUUCGUCGGUCUAGACCAUAUCUAGACUUGUUGAUAUUGCAGUUGUGGAAACAGCUACAUCCACUUAAUCUCGUUGAAAACCGUUAGUCGUAUAACGGAACGUCGUCGGAGGUGACCUUGGUCUCACCUAGUCUACAUUGGACAGUUUGGUCUAGUGAAGCAGAGUACAACAGCAAACUUCGUCGUACUACCAGAGUAGCAGCAGAAGCAGUGAACUAUUUUAGAGAACCGUUAUUCGUCAGCCCAGAUCAAGUCAUCGUCAAGAAAGCCGUUAUUCGUCAGCCCAGAUCAAGUCAUCGUCAAGAAAUUCGUUAUUCGUCAGUCGUCCAGAUCAAGUUGUCGUCAAGAGACUGUUAUUUGUCAGUAGUCGUCUACACAAGUCAAGUCAUCGCCAGAAGAACCGUUAACCUAUUCGUCAGUAACUGUGUACACAAGGUCGUCGGAACUACACAUACGGUCAUCAACAGUCGUCGAAGAAACUGGAACAUUUUGCUGUGGCAUAUCAGGACAUCUGUGGCAUUACGUGGGAUACUGGUAGCACCGGAGAACAGAGUCAGAACUGGAAGAGAGGCAGUGGAAUUUGUUGUGAUCUAACAUAUUCGGGAGUCCGAACAAAGGGAUCUUUCUUAUCAAAAGCUAAGUGCCAUUUUUCUUAUUAGUAUAUGUUUAGAUUGCCCUUAGAAAUAGAUAUCUAUUUUGUCUAAAUUUGGUACGUUAGCCUGAGUAAAAUCAGGUGGUGCGCCUUAAAACCCGUCGGGGUAGAAGACGUAAUUUAGAUGAAAAGCUAUAUUAUACGUUUAGGGUUGUAAUUUGUUUUGUUUGUGCAAACGUCAUAUCCGUUGUUGCCUGGUUACUUCGUGACGUUAUCAUUGUGUGCCAUAUUGUCACAUCCCAACCCAUAGUGAUAGUCUCAUUUAAUUAUUUCAUUUGUUUAUAUUAUUUUAAAUUAUUUAUUUUUAUUAAUUUAAUUAGAUCUGUAUUUUUUUUUCACUUAAUGAUAGAAAGUGCGGGUAGGAUUCUUUUACUGUGAAUCAGACUAAAAUAAUUUUAGUUUGAGCGGUUAAAAUCAAUUAUGAUUUUGCCAUGAGAAUAAUGCCGAAACUGGCUAUGUAGUCAAACACUAUCGUCUGGCUAAAUUUAGAUCUGCAAAUUGUUGUACAUCUCUUUGGUACAAUUUAAUUAUCUAGACUCUACUUUGAAAUAUUAUUAAGUUGAAGAUGAAUGAAGAUUACUGCCAGUGAAGAACAUUUGAGAUGUAUAGGACGUGCCCAUAAGAUGCCACAUUUUCCUCCAUGAUGAACUAUGUACCAAUGAAGAUGAUUCUGGAAUGUUAUGAACUGUUAUGAACAUUGACAUGAAUAUGAGGAACUGUCAAGAUGAAGAUGUCAAGAUGAAGAGAUCAAGAUUUUAUGUUUGUGGUCUUCCCCUUAAAUUGAAAAUGCCCUUGUAAGACUUGACAGUAGUGGAAAAAUAUUGACAUAUUUUUUUUUCAAGGGGGGGAGGAAUCUGUUAGACACCUUAUUUAUAUAGGUUAGUUAUUUUAGUUAUUUAGCGACGCACCAUAGUAGACGCAUAUUGAACGGGACUAGUGACGUUUGGGAUAUGUUGGGUUAGAGACCGGAAAAUCAGUUAGCGAUAGAACAUUCCAGGGUAACGACGUGUUUAGUGACAGAGACUUCUACUGUGGCCCUUUUAUCAUAAUAAAUACAUGUUGAAUAGUU